rnacentral:rRNA from 1 species
CGGUUAAGUUAGAAAGGGCGCACGGUGGAUGCCUUGGCACUAGGAGCCGAUGAAGGACGGGACGAACACCGAUAUGCUUCGGGGAGCUGUAAGCAAGCUUUGAUCCGGAGAUUUCCGAAUGGGGAAACCCACCACUCGUAAUGGAGUGGUAUCCAUAUCUGAAUACAUAGGAUAUGAGAAGGCAGACCCGGGGAACUGAAACAUCUAAGUACCCGGAGGAAGAGAAAGCAAAUGCGAUUCCCUGAGUAGCGGCGAGCGAAACGGGACCAGCCCAAACCAAGAGGCUUGCCUCUUGGGGUUGUAGGACACUCUGUACGGAGUUACAAAGGAACGAGGUAGAUGAAGAGGUCUGGAAAGGCCCGCCAUAGAAGGUAACAGCCCUGUAGUCAAAACUUCGUUCUCUCCUGAGUGGAUCCUGAGUACGGCGGAACACGUGAAAUUCCGUCGGAAUCCGGGAGGACCAUCUCCCAAGGCUAAAUACUCCCUAGUGACCGAUAGUGAACCAGUACCGUGAGGGAAAGGUGAAAAGCACCCCGGAAGGGGAGUGAAAGAGAUCCUGAAACCGUGUGCCUACAAGUAGUCAGAGCCCGUUAACGGGUGAUGGCGUGCCUUUUGUAGAAUGAACCGGCGAGUUACGAUCCCGUGCAAGGUUAAGCAGAAGAUGCGGAGCCGCAGCGAAAGCGAGUCUGAAUAGGGCGAAUUGAGUACGUGGUCGUAGACCCGAAACCAGGUGAUCUACCCAUGUCCAGGGUGAAGUUCAGGUAACACUGAAUGGAGGCCCGAACCCACGCACGUUGAAAAGUGCGGGGAUGAGGUGUGGGUAGGGGUGAAAUGCCAAUCGAACCUGGAGAUAGCUGGUUCUCUCCGAAAUAGCUUUAGGGCUAGCCUCAAGGUAAGAGUCUCGGAGGUAGAGCACUGAUUGGACUAGGGGCCCCUACCGGGUUACCGAAUUCAGUCAAACUCCGAAUGCCGAUGACUUAUCCUUGGGAGUCAGACUGCGAGUGAUAAGAUCCGUAGUCGAAAGGGAAACAGCCCAGACCGCCAGCUAAGGUCCCAAAGUAUACGUUAAGUGGAAAAGGAUGUGGAGUUGCUUAGACAACCAGGAUGUUGGCUUAGAAGCAGCCACCAUUUAAAGAGUGCGUAAUAGCUCACUGGUCGAGUGACUCUGCGCCGAAAAUGUACCGGGGCUAAACGUAUCACCGAAGCUGCGGACUGUUCUUCGAACAGUGGUAGGAGAGCGUUCUAAGGGCUGUGAAGCAAGACCGGAAGGACUUGUGGAGCGCUUAGAAGUGAGAAUGCCGGUAUGAGUAGCGAAAGAGGGGUGAGAAUCCCCUCCACCGAAUGCCUAAGGUUUCCUGAGGAAGGCUCGUCCGCUCAGGGUUAGUCGGGACCUAAGCCGAGGCCGAAAGGCGUAGGCGAUGGAUAACAGGUUGAUAUUCCUGUACCACCUCCUCACCAUUUGAGCAAUGGGGGGACGCAGGAGGAUAGGGUAAGCGCGGUAUUGGAUAUCCGCGUCCAAGCAGUUAGGCUGGGAAAUAGGCAAAUCCGUUUCCCGUGAAGGCUGAGCUGUGAUGGCGAGCGAAUUAUAGUAGCGAAGUUCCUGAUUCCACACUGCCAAGAAAAGCCUCUAGCGAGGUGAGAGGUGCCCGUACCGCAAACCGACACAGGUAGGCGAGGAGAGAAUCCUAAGGCGAGCGAGAGAACUGUUGUUAAGGAACUCGGCAAAAUGACCCCGUAACUUAGGGAGAAGGGGUGCCACGUUAGGGUUAACGCCCGAGGUGGCCGCAGAGAAUAGGCCCAAGCGACUGUUUACCAAAAACACAGGUUUCUGCUAAGUCGCAAGACGAUGUAUAGGAGCUGACGCCUGCCCGGUGCUGGAAGGUUAAGGGGAUCUGUUAGGAUUUAUCCGAAGCAGUGAACUUAAGCCCCAGUAAACGGCGGCCGUAACUAUAACGGUCCUAAGGUAGCG